rnacentral:tmRNA from 1 species
CUGGAAACAAAGUAACUGCGAACGAUCAAACGUACGCACUCGCCGCUUAAAACCGGUGAGCCUCUCAACGGCAGGCCGAUGGGCCGGGUUGAAGGUCGCAAGACCAACGACUGAGAGGUCAUUCACAUCGGCUCGUCCCCGACUGCGUCAUUCAGCCGGGGCCUAAAACCAAGUGACUCGGAGCCCAGGUAGCGUGCUGCUGCGCGACCCAGGCUCUCAGACUCAAAUCAGACAGCUACGCAUGUAGAACCGUCCGGCGAAGGCUUGCGGACGGGGGUUCGAUUCCCCCCGGUUCCACCA